rnacentral:rRNA from 1 species
GAGACUCUGUGCGCGUGCAUAUCAAUAAGCGGAGGAAAAGAAACUAACAAGGAUUCCCCUAGUAACGGCGAGUGAAGCGGGAAGAGCUCAAAUUUGAAAUCUUCAAGGGUUCUACCUUUACGAAUUGUAGAUUUAAAGAAGUGUUUUCUGUUGGAGUUCGAGUACAAAGGUUCCUUGGAAUAGGGACAUCAUAGAGGGUGAGAAUCCCGUAUUUGACCGUUACUUUCCAGCUGUGUGAUACACUUUCAAAGAGUCGGAUUGUUUGGGAAUGCAGUCCAAGAUGGGUGGUAAAUUUCAUCUAAAGCUAAAUAUUGGCGAGAGACCGAUAGCGAACAAGUACCGUGAGGGAAAGAUGAAAAGAACUUUGAAAAGAGAGUUAAACAGUACGUGAAAUUGUCAAAAGGGAAGCGUUUGACACCAGUGUUGUUUAGUUCGAAAAUCAAUUACGAAUAGUCUUGAUUUUAAAGUUAGUAUUGACCUUCAUCAGCUUGCUUCACUUUUUCUCAGAAUCUUUCUUGAAUGCACUUUUCAGUUAACAAGUCAACAUCAAUUUCUUUUGUUGUAAAAGGGUAAGUCGGAAGGUGGCUUGCGCUUUCGGAUAAAGUGUUUAUAGCCCUAUACUUCUAGCAAUCGGAGAGAUUGAGGUCUGCAGCGUAGAUCCUUCGGGGUUAGAUACAUUGGUGCUAAGUUAUAGCUUGUCAUAGACAACUUGUUGACUAUGUUUAGUCAUGUCGCUUACUCGCUGAUGCUAUUUUACCUACGCUUAGGAUGUUGACUGAUAUGUAGUCGU